AUGAGUACUUGCCCUUACGGGUAGAUCUCCCACCCUUGAAUUAUUAUAACCUUUGUUGCUUUGGCGGGCCCGUCCUCGGACCUACCGGCUUCGGCUGGUGCAGUGCCCGCCAGAGGAACCUAAACUCUGAAUUUAUAGUGUGUCUGAGUACUAUAUAAUAGUUA
rnacentral:misc_RNA from 1 species